UAGCAUUAUGUAUGCUCUUGAAAAUUAAUUGAAUGUAGUCAAAUCAUUUUAUUUUCAGAGGAGCAAUUCAUUUAUAUGUGUUGAUAAACAAGGGUGUGUUUGGGAUUGGAUGUGUGGGCUCACUGUGCUCUUCAUGACACUGUUCUUAUUUCAUUUUGUUAAGUUUUUGGACUAUUGUUUAACCUGUUUUUGAAGGUUGUAUUUUCAGAACCUCGUAGUUCGUAACCUAGUUAUUGCUGCAUACUUUAAAAAACUCUUCACAGUGUGCUUAUUUUAAUACUUUUCACUUAUGCUUUGAUGAUAUAAAGGAAUACUGUCAUUAAUCUAAUCACAUCCCUCCAACUCUUGUAAUUGCUGACAUGUAUUUUAAAAAAUUAAUAUCCAUGCAUCAGUGGUCAUCUGUGGUUGACUCAAUGAUAUUUCACAAACAGAACCAACCCUGUACCCAAUUCCUUUUGAAAUAACAGCACAUUGUCAGCCUGGCAGAUGGCUGCACCCAGUCAUCACCCUUAAGGGUGACUGAUAUUGUCACAUCUGACAUCUAAAUCUCUUCCCCCUUCUUUAGUUUCUAUAAAUGAAAUUAUAGCAUGAACUCUUUUGCUAUUUUGAUUUCUAAUACAUGUUGUUCAUCAGUUUAUUGGUGGUAUCUGUUGUUAAUGAUCAGCUAUUCCUAUUGGUGAUAGAACUUCACUGUGAAAUCAAAUUAUAUAAUGAUACUGAUGAAGUACAUGUUAGUGAUUUUCUAUUUGGCCCUGUAAGGAACAAUGCUGGUAUGUAUGUGCUUGAAUGUGUAUUAAUACUGUAACAGUUUCUCUUUAAUCUAUGCUCAUUUUUGAUAUUGUUGGAUCCUAUGUUUACAUGUGUUCAUAUUUGAGACAAUUUUCUAAAACCUGUGUAUUCAUUUCACACCCAACAGCAGGUGAUUAUAUUCAUUAUUUGCAUCCUUGUCCACAGGUGAUGUUUCCUGUCAUUUUUAUUGUACCAUCGGGUGACUGUGCAGCAGAACCAGGUGAGCGCUGACUUGGUGCUUAGUCUCCAGAGGAAGUCUAAGCCCUCUGCUUAAAAGGCCAUUCCGACUCGGUUUCUCAUUUUCGAGAAACUGUGUGGAUCCCAGCUAAGAAGAUAAAACCCAGAAAAUGAACAAAAGGCCUCUAUUUGACGUUGAACCUCCCAUUGAUGAGAUGCGAGCCAUAGUUAUUGGAAGAUUCAGAGUUUGAGCUCCGUUACCAAGACCUCAAGAAGUGAAUCCCCCAACACGGGGACAACUAAAAAAGAUGAAACAGGAAGCUGAAAAAAUUAUACAACAGACCGGACGGGCAACGCAAUGCUUCAAAUUUGUUCCUGGCUGUCAUUGCUGCUGUCACCGUGGGGGUAAUUUCUGCUAAUGGCAUUUAUCAUUCAUAUUGGGCUUAUACUCCUAAUCCCCUGAUCGAUCAAGUUAUCCAUUGGCUCUCCAAAACGGUCCCAAUAUGUUAAUGAUUCCAACUGGACUCCUGGUCCUUAUGAUACUUGUGGCCCCUUAAGGCCAGGAGAAGAGGGCAUGAAAAUUGAGAAUUAUAUGGUGGGAGUAGAGGGGGUAUCCAUUUGUAUUGGACAUGAAAACCAUUGCUUGAAAAUAUAACCAGCUGCAUGGUUAUCCAUUGUUAAAAUUGGUACCUAUAAAGAAUCAUAGAAAAAAUUAUUCCUUCUUCAAGCAUUCAGAUUCCACAAAAAAAAUUAAUUCAAGUGACAUAACAGAUCAUCCCCCGGAUUUGCCCAUCUGCACCCAACCAAUAGCUGCAAGAAUCAGUGAAUGGGUGCACUGGAUGAAUUGGCGGGUAGAAAUAGGUUGGGUUUUACUUAAUACCUCCUAUGGCAGCGUCAUUGAUUGGAGCCCUCGAGGUUCCGCCCAGACCAGAGGACAGAGGCAUGACCUGCGAUGGUGUAAACAUACUUAUGGCACUAGUCACACCAUUGUCACAUCUUCUAAUGAGACCAUUUAUUGGCGUGGAGGUGGGAUGUCUCCUCCUGCCCACAUUUACCUUUUGGGCCCCUGCAAUAUCACUUAAGGAAAAUUCCCUUGGCUUUAUGGGGUCUAAUAGCUUGGAAAGGCCAUACUCAGAAUUAUACUAUUACAAAAAACAAUUGAUUGAGUUUUACAAAAAAUGAGUCAUUAUAUUACAGCCUGUGUCUGAUUGCCCUUGUUAAUUAUUAUUGGUCACACAGUGUGGCGUUCAUCUCUCCUGUGUAAAUCAUUCAUUCUAUACUUGUAUUAAUAACUCUGUUCCUUUUUCCACAAAAGAUUGUCUUUAUAUUCUUAAGGCUAGAACAGAUCUCUGGCCUCCAGUUCAAUUACACCAAAAAUGGCAAGAUUCUCCAAGCAUGAUGCUUCUCCAAUAUACUAUUGACAAUCUUCUGAAAAGAACUAAAUGAAUGAUUGGAUUAAUCAUUGCAGUUAUCCUGGGGAUCAUAGCCAUAACUGCAACUGCUGCAACCGCUGGGGUCGCACUUCAGCAAAGUGUUCCGACUGUUGACUUUGUUAAUAAUUGGCAUUCUGAUUCAUCAAAAUUGUGGACUACCCAAAGACGAAUAGGUAGUGAAAUUAAUGCACAACUGACUGAUUUGCAACAGUUAUUAUGCUAUGAGAUCAAAUUGUUAGUUUGCAACAUCAAAUUUCUAUAAAAUGUUAUUGGGAUACAACUGGGUUUUGUGUUACUCCUGUACCUUAUAAUCAUACUUAUUUUCCAUGAAACAAUGUUAAAAGGCAUUUGUUAAAUCACGGCAAUAUGACUCAAGAAAUAUUACACCUUCAACAGCACAUUUCUGAUAAUUUCCAGGAACAAUUACAAGUAUUAAGUAGUUCUAAUUUAUUGGAAAGUAUUGCAGAUGGAAUAAGUAAUUUGAACGCAAUAAAAAACUUAAAAAU